GACGAACGCUGGCGGCGUGCUUAACACAUGCAAGUCGAACGGAAAGGCCCUGCUUUUGUGGGGUGCUCGAGUGACGAACGGGUGAGUAACACGUGAGUAACCUGCCCUUGACUUUGGGAUAACGUCAGGAAACUGGGGCUAAUACCGGAUAGGAGCUCCUGCUGCAUGGUGGGGGUUGGAAAGUUUCGGCGGUUGGGGAUGGACUCGCGGCUUAUCAGCUUGUUGGUGGGGUAGUGGCUUACCAAGGCUUUGACGGGUAGCCGGCCUGAGAGGGUGACCGGCCACAUUGGGACUGAGAUACGGCCCAGACUCCUACGGGAGGCAGCAGUGGGGAAUAUUGCACAAUGGGCGGAAGCCUGAUGCAGCAACGCCGCGUGCGGGAUGACGGCCUUCGGGUUGUAAACCGCUUUCGCCUGUGACGAAGCGUGAGUGACGGUAAUGGGUAAAGAAGCACCGGCUAACUACGUG
rnacentral:rRNA from 1 species